UACGGGGGGGGUAAGCGUUGUUCGGAAUUACUGGGCGUAAAGGGCUCGUAGGCGGCCAACUAAGCCAGACGUGAAAUCCCUCAGCUUAACUGGGGAACUGCGUCUGGGACUGGAUGGCUUGAGUGCAGGAGAGGAACGCGGAAUUCCAGGUGUAGCGGUGAAAUGCGUAGAUAUCUGGAGGAACACCGGUGGCGAAGGCGGCGUUCUGGACUGCAACUGACACUGAGGAACGAAAGCCAGGGGAGCAAACGGG
rnacentral:rRNA from 1 species